rnacentral:rRNA from 1 species
CCUACGGGGGGCUGCAGUGGGGAAUAUUGGGCAAUGGGCGAAAGCCUGACCCAGCGACGCCGCGUGGGUGAUGAAGGCCUUCGGGUUGUAAAGCCCUGUCAUGCGGAAAGAACAGUCUUACGGUUAAUACCCGUGAGAUUUGACGGUACCGCAGGAGGAAGCACCGGCUAACUCCGUGCCAGCAGCCGCGGUAAUACGGAGGGUGCAAGCGUUGUUCGGAGAUAUGGGGCGGGAAGGACGCGUAGGCUGUGAAAUACUUCGGCUCGACUGAAGAACUGCAUCUGAAACGUCGUAACCAGAGUACAGAAGAGGGAAAUGGAAUUCCCGGUGUAGAGGUGAAAUUCGUAGAUAUCGGGAGGAACACCAGUGGCGAAGGCGAUUUCCUGGUCUGAUACUGACGCUGAGGCGUGAAAGUGUGGGGAGCAAACAGGAUUAGAUACCCUUGUAGUC